rnacentral:rRNA from 1 species
UACAGAGGUCUCAAGCGUUGUUCGGAUUCAUUGGGCGUAAAGGGUGCGUAGGUGGCGCGCUAAGUCGGGUGUGAAAUCUCGGGGCUUAACUCCGAAACUGCAUUCGAUACUGCCGUGCUUGAGGACUGGAGAGGAGGCUGGAAUUUACGGUGUAGCGGUGAAAUGCGUAGAUAUCGUAAGGAAGACCAGUGGCGAAGGCGGGUCUCUGGACAGUUCCUGACGCUGAGGCACGAAGGUCAGGGGAGCAAACGGG